GAGAAGUAAGGUGUUGUGGGCAGGGACUGGUUGUGGGUACAAGUAAGAAGGCCAGAUAUGAGAUGGGGGAAAGGAUGCAUGCAGGAGAAGAGAACAGACUGCAACGAAAGGCAGUUUGAGAUGUAGCAGUGGACGCCUCUUCCAUGAUAUUCAGCACUCUGCGUGUUCAAUGAUGCCGCACACGUCCUCUCAUCCCGUCACCAACGGCCUGGAUGUGGCAGCUGCCGUCAACAUCCCAACCGUCACCAGCACCACAUGUUGAAUGACAUUGGCAUCGUGUCACCGGGGCAGCAGCUCAACACCAGCAUUAUUCUGAUGAAAUUUCUAUAUUUACUGAUCUCAAGAUAUAUUUGAUUUCAUUUUUGUCUCUUGAGACAAGGAGCGAGAAAACUGUUGAUUUUGCGAAGAACAAUUGUCACUGUAUUGCUUUCAAGGAGGAUGUUCCGUAGACAAACAAGUAUGCAA